rnacentral:rRNA from 1 species
AUUGAACGCUGGCGGCAGGCCUAACACAUGCAAGUCGAACGAGUGGCGGACGGGUGAGUAAUGUCUGGGAAACUGCCUGAUGGAGGGGGAUAACUACUGGAAACGGUAGCUAAUACCGCCUACCAUCGGAUGUGCACAGAUGGGAUUAGCUAGUAGGGGGGGUAACGGCUCCCCUAGGCGACGCUCCCUAGCUGGUCGGAGAGGAUGACCAGCCACACGUGAACUGAGACACGGGCCAGACUCCUACGGGAGGCAGCAGUGGGGAAGAUGGCACAAUGGGCGCAAGCCUGAGGCAGCCAUGCGGCGUGUAUGAAGAAGGCCUUCGGGUUGUAAAGUACUUUCAGCGGGGAGGCGUUACCCGCAGAAGAAGCACCGGCUAACUCCGUGCCAGCAGCCGCGGUAAUUC